rnacentral:lncRNA from 1 species
GUGGAACUCAUCUACGCAGGGCAAAUAAUUGCAUGUGUACAUGUACGUGUUGCCAAUUUCUUUUCAAAUUCUCUCUUAUUUUCUUUUUUUUUUUGGUAAAGACUUAUUUUAUUUUUGGAUGAAUAGUAAAAGACGUGUUGCCAAAGUGAUCACUUCUUGUCGCCAUAGAAAGAGAGAAAAAAAAGUAAUUGUUUUCCCCUAAACUUUU